UGAUAUAAUAUGAACAGUGGCGCAGUAUCCUAGUCGGUUUCGCUAUGGUUGAAGGCGGGGCUAAAAAUCCGUCAAAGGGCAUAUCGAUGAAGUUUCUUGUUUGGGCUUCUUACGCCCAGUAAGGGGUUCUUUCAGGAAGUAAGGAAGCUGGGGCGAUCUGCAACGGCAUGCAGGCGUAGACCCUACUUCCGCGGAGGCUCAUAGAGAUUUAUUCUCUAUGGGAGAAACCUAUGGAUGUGGCAGUGCGGUGGUAAAUCCGCCACUGCUGUUGAAGUAGUGUAGCCUGUUUUGAGUGAUAUAGGGGGAAAUACGGAACCAACUUUUUAUCGAGUGAGCUCUAAGAUAAAAAAGUAUUGCUUAUGAAACCUAUGUUGCAAAAGAAACUAGAUCAUAGUAAAAUCGCUGAGGAAAGCUCCUAGGCUGUUUCUAACGAUGGUAAUUUGGGGAUUACAGUGUGAACUAAGUGGGGAUUUGGUUCUGCCCGCAGUAAUGAGGCAGGGAAAUAUUGAAAGGGAAACCGCAAUUACGGCGACGUUUUUGUAUAUUUUCGGGAAAUCCUACCAAACCUAAGUCGCAAAGUUUACUUAAAUUACUGCCACUGAACUUUAUAAAAAA
rfam:Anaerofustis stercorihominis DSM 17244 Scfld_02_0 genomic scaffold, whole genome shotgun sequence.